rnacentral:rRNA from 2 species
GGUUAAGCGACUAAGCGUACACGGUGGAUGCCCUGGCAGUCAGAGGCGAUGAAGGACGUGCUAAUCUGCGAUAAGCGCCGGUAAGGUGAUAUGAACCGUUAUAACCGGCGAUUUCCGAAUGGGGAAACCCAGUGUGAUUCGUCACACUAUCAUUAACUGAAUCCAUAGGUUAAUGAGGCGAACCGGGGGAACUGAAACAUCUAAGUACCCCGAGGAAAAGAAAUCAACCGAGAUUCCCCCAGUAGCGGCGAGCGAACGGGGAGGAGCCCAGAGCCUGAAUCAGCAUGUGUGUUAGUGGAAGCGUCUGGAAAGGCGCGCGAUACAGGGUGACAGCCCCGUACACAAAAGCGCAUGUGCUGUGAGCUCGAUGAGUAGGGCGGGACACGUGGUAUCCUGUCUGAAUAUGGGGGGACCAUCCUCCAAGGCUAAAUACUCCUGACUGACCGAUAGUGAACCAGUACCGUGAGGGAAAGGCGAAAAGAACCCCGGCGAGGGGAGUGAAAAAGAACCUGAAACCGUGUACGUACAAGCAGUGGGAGCACCCUUCGGGGUGUGACUGCGUACCUUUUGUAUAAUGGGUCAGCGACUUAUAUUCUGUAGCAAGGUUAACCGUAUAGGGGAGCCGGAGGGAAACCGAGUCUUAAUUGGGCGUUAAGUUGCAGGGUAUAGACCCGAAACCCGGUGAUCUAGCCAUGGGCAGGUUGAAGGUUGGGUAACACUAACUGGAGGACCGAACCGACUAAUGUUGAAAAAUUAGCGGAUGACCUGUGGCUGGGGGUGAAAGGCCAAUCAAACCGGGAGAUAGCUGGUUCUCCCCGAAAGCUAUUUAGGUAGCGCCUCGUGAAUUCAUCUCCGGGGGUAGAGCACUGUUUCGGCUAGGGGGCCAUCCCGGCUUACCAACCCGAUGCAAACUGCGAAUACCGGAGAAUGUUAUCACGGGAGACACACGGCGGGUGCUAACGUCCGUCGUGAAGAGGGAAACAACCCAGACCGCCAGCUAAGGUCCCAAAGUCAUGGUUAAGUGGGAAACGAUGUGGGAAGGCCCAGACAGCCAGGAUGUUGGCUUAGAAGCAGCCAUCAUUUAAAGAAAGCGUAAUAGCUCACUGGUCGAGUCGGCCUGCGCGGAAGAUGUAACGGGGCUAAACCAUGCACCGAAGCUGCGGCAGCGAACGUAUCACUUAAAGCGAUUCAGCGGGUUACGAUUGACGGAGCGAAGCGACGUCAAAGCGUAUACAAAGUCGAGUCGGUUUAAGGAUACGUUCGUUGGGUAGGGGAGCGUUCUGUAAGCCUGUGAAGGUGGCCUGUGAGGGUUGCUGGAGGUAUCAGAAGUGCGAAUGCUGACAUAAGUAACGAUAAAGCGGGUGAAAAGCCCGCUCGCCGGAAGACCAAGGGUUCCUGUCCAACGUUAAUCGGGGCAGGGUGAGUCGACCCCUAAGGCGAGGCCGAAAGGCGUAGUCGAUGGGAAACGGGUUAAUAUUCCCGUACUUGGUGUUACUGCGAAGGGGGGACGGAGAAGGCUAUGUUGGCCGGGCGACGGUUGUCCCGGUUUAAGCGUGUAGGUGUGUGUUCCAGGUAAAUCCGGUUCACUUUAACACUGAGGCGUGAUGACGAGGCACUACGGUGCUGAAGCAACAAAUGCCCUGCUUCCAGGAAAAGCCUCUAAGCAUCAGGUAACAUCAAAUCGUACCCCAAACCGACACAGGUGGUCAGGUAGAGAAUACCAAGGCGCUUGAGAGAACUCGGGUGAAGGAACUAGGCAAAAUGGUGCCGUAACUUCGGGAGAAGGCACGCUGACACGUAGGUGAAGUGAUUUACUCAUGGAGCUGAAGUCAGUCGAAGAUACCAGCUGGCUGCAACUGUUUAUUAAAAACACAGCACUGUGCAAACACGAAAGUGGACGUAUACGGUGUGACGCCUGCCCGGUGCCGGAAGGUUAAUUGAUGGGGUCAGCGCAAGCGAAGCUCCUGAUCGAAGCCCCGGUAAACGGCGGCCGUAACUAUAACGGUCCUAAGGUAGCGAAAUUCCUUGUCGGGUAAGUUCCGACCUGCACGAAUGGCGUAAUGAUGGCCAGGCUGUCUCCACCCGAGACUCAGUGAAAUUGAACUCGCUGUGAAGAUGCAGUGUACCCGCGGCAAGACGGAAAGACCCCGUGAACCUUUACUAUAGCUUGACACUGAACAUUGAGCCUUGAUGUGUAGGAUAGGUGGGAGGCUUUGAAGCGUGGACGCCAGUCUGCGUGGAGCCGACCUUGAAAUACCACCCUUUAAUGUUUGAUGUUCUAACGUGGACCCGUGAUCCGGGUUGCGGACAGUGUCUGGUGGGUAGUUUGACUGGGGCGGUCUCCUCCUAAAGAGUAACGGAGGAGCACGAAGGUUGGCUAAUCCUGGUCGGACAUCAGGAGGUUAGUGCAAUGGCAUAAGCCAGCUUGACUGCGAGCGUGACGGCGCGAGCAGGUGCGAAAGCAGGUCAUAGUGAUCCGGUGGUUCUGAAUGGAAGGGCCAUCGCUCAACGGAUAAAAGGUACUCCGGGGAUAACAGGCUGAUACCGCCCAAGAGUUCAUAUCGACGGCGGUGUUUGGCACCUCGAUGUCGGCUCAUCACAUCCUGGGGCUGAAGUAGGUCCCAAGGGUAUGGCUGUUCGCCAUUUAAAGUGGUACGCGAGCUGGGUUUAGAACGUCGUGAGACAGUUCGGUCCCUAUCUGCCGUGGGCGCUGGAGAACUGAGGGGGGCUGCUCCUAGUACGAGAGGACCGGAGUGGACGCAUCACUGGUGUUCGGGUUGUCAUGCCAAUGGCACUGCCCGGUAGCUAAAUGCGGAAGAGAUAAGUGCUGAAAGCAUCUAAGCACGAAACUUGCCCCGAGAUGAGUUCUCCCUGAGACUUAAAGUCUCCUGAAGGAACGUUGAAGACGACGACGUUGAUAGGCCGGGUGUGUAAGCGCAGCGAUGCGUUGAGCUAACCGGUACUAAUGAACCGUGAGGCUUAACCUU